UACGUAGGGGGCAAGCGUUGUCCGGAAUCAUUGGGCGUAAAGCGCGUGUAGGCGGCCAGAUAAGUCCGCUGUGAAAUCUCGAGGCUCAACUUCGAGCUGUCGGUGGAAACUGUCUGGCUAGAGUGCGGAAGGGGCAACUGGAAUUCUUGGUGUAGCGGUGAAAUGCGUAGAUAUCAAGAGGAACACCUGCGGCGAAGGCGGGUUGCUGGGCCGACACUGACGCUGAGGCGCGAAAGCCAGGGGAGCGAACGGG
rnacentral:rRNA from 1 species